ACAAGGCACUGGAUAAGAACCCAGAAAUGAUCACAAGUCAGGAAGUAUUUCUCUUGCAUGUCCAUCAUUCUUUGGGUAAAAACCUGUUUCAUUCCCAAAUCUCUGAUAAUGCUGCUAAUGAUUAGGUAUUCUCAAUCCAGUAUCUUUUCUCAGCUAGUUCUGGGCUAUCUGAUUAUCUCAUUUAAAGGAUUAUGUAUUAUUUUGGCCAAUGGAAUUUGCUCAUAUCCUUUCCUCCACUUAGACUUGUCUUUUCCUGAAAGCCCUUGAGCUGUAAAACCACACAUCAUUUCAACAUCUGAAAUCCUUUGUCUGGUAAUGUUGUACCAUUUUAGUGCCCAGUUGUGCCCUGCAUAACUAAUCAUGAGGAAAGGGAUGUGAACUCUGUACUGAAGAGAUUCCUAAAAAGAAGAACUACUGGGAGGAGCAAAAAGCCAGCACUUAGAGUUUUCUUCCUGCCUGUGCCAGAUACCAUCUGUUAUCUUUAGGAGGUCGGGGACUGUGCUUUCCCUGUGAGCAGCAUGGAGGUGAUGGCUGGAGAGAGGGAGCUGUGCUGCUGAAAUGAGCAGCAGCCUUUAACUGAACACUCCACACAGAAAUUAGGAACAAUAUUACAGCAUCUGGUGUGUGUAACGGGAGAAUAAACCAGCUGUGCUAGGUGAAAUAUGGAGUACGUCAAAUUAUUACAACAAACUUUAUAAACAUUACUGUUAGUCUGACUGCAAUCAUUUUUUUAAUAGCAGGAGAAGACAGAGAGAGAAAGGAGCUCUGCACAUCAAAUGCUGUGAAAAAGAAUGAUACUACUGUAAAGAGCACGAGAGCCAGCACCCAAUUAGAGCAGACAGAAACUGGCUGCAAACAAGAAGGAAACUGGAGCAGCAAUUCCAGAAUGAGAAGGAUAGUUCUCAUCUCAAGAUCUGCCAUGGUAGCAAGAGGCCACAAAGCAUUAAAGAGAUAUAUUUUGCAAUUUUUUGCAAAAUGAAAGUUACAUUUCAUUGGCUUUUUAUGGUAUUUUGAGCCCAAUCAAUAAGCUUUACGACCUGCAUCCUCUGUUGGCUCAUUGAAGCUAACUGGGCUAUCAGCUUUCUGUCUUGGUGCACUAUAGAUGGGCAAUCACACUUUAUUUAAUGACUGAAAUGGACAUCUUUGGUGAUACAGGAUUCUUCAAUGAGAUAUGUAAUUGUUCCCAGCUUAUGCAGCUUUUAUUGAAUUAUUAUUGAAAACAUAAUUUCAUGCUUGGUUAAGUCAUAAAUUUAAUUCAUUUCGCUGGCAAGAUACAGUAACAAAUAUGACACUACCAGUAUUGCUUGGAGGAAAGGAGAGGAGGUUCUGUGUAGCCAACGAGUAUAAAUUAGCUGAGCACUCAUUGGUUAACUUUUGAGCAUUUUCUGCUCGUGGAUUUAAAAGUGCAGGAGAAACUUGUCCAUGUCCAGUAGAUCAGUUUUGACAGAAAGCUGGCACUUGGUUGUAACGUAUAGAUUGAGUCUCGUGGGCACAUUGCAAUCCCAGUUAGUUGGAUAAAAUGGAAUUGCACUGGCUCUGCUUUUUGGUGGCUUCAGGACACAGAUGAGUCAUUGACUAGGCAAAGGUCUUGUGUCUGCUUUUCUUAACCACAUUAAUUAAUUAAUUAAUUAUGUCAUUAACCACAACUGAAAGUUUAACAUCUCAGCUGUGUGUGCAUCUGUGGGGCACUCUCACAAGUGCCUGCAAAAGGCAGGGGAAAAAGGUAAGAACUCCCUUUUGUUAAAAUGAACUCAGUGAGACUUGUCUGAACGGGGACUGUGUGCAAGGUACACCCUCUUUUUCCUUUUUAGCCCCAAAUCCAUGAGAGACUGGGCUGGCUGAAGCCCUGGAUUUCUUUAGGCAGGACUGACUGCUUGGAGCAGGAGGCUGGACUGGAAAGCUCCAGAAAGCUCUGUCAGCCAGCACGGCCUCGACUCUGUCUUUAAUCCUGACUUCUCUCCAGAAACAUUAACUGCUUAACUCUGCUUUAACACAGGCAUCUGUGAACAGCCUGAGGAAAUGCCUGCUUUUCUUGGAUUUGAUUUUAAAGUCCAAGUCCCUCCAUUUAGGUGAAGAACCAGAAUCAGACACUGAUAUUUAUGCUGCAUCCUUAAAAGUAAGUAACACAUUAAAAUGAUUAGACCUUUUAUGCCACAGUUGCCCAAAUUAUGUUUUCUCAAGGAGCCCUACCUACCUACAGAAUAUUUCAUCAUUUUUCUGCAAAGAAUCUGUGGUGAUAUUUUUGCUUUAACUAACAAGGUUUUCCUUUCUCAAUUUCUGCUCUGACUGUACACGGGGAAUUUUUUUCUGGCCUGUUGCUGUUUGCAAGCAAGUUUUAAUUCAGAACUUUUGGAGGCUCUUUUGUAUGGCUUUGAGUUUCUUCACAACCUUUUGAAGCUGAGGAUGCAACACACCUCACUGGCCUAAUCUUUUAUUAACCACAUUUUGCUUAUUGUACUUUACCAUAGAAUCUUGUUGCAUUCAAUGAAGUGGCUUUUGGCAAUCAAAGGAAACUAUUUGAAGGGGUUAUCAAACAAUCUUUGUUCUAGCUGAGAAAUUAGUAGAUAUGUUAAGUAGUAUAAAUACUGCUAGGGAGUAAAAAACCUUGAUUUUUGCCAAACAGUUGAAACAGGAAAUAGCUUAAUGCAUAAAAAAAACCCAGCAUAACACAGUGAAGCUAUAUCUUUUAAUUAUUAAAUCUAUGUUUCUACAGUAGAACUCACCAAAUGUGGGCUUGAGAAAUCACUGGAAGUUAAAAAAUUAUUACCGAGUCAAACACCAUAAUUUAAUGAAUUAGCCUGGUUGAAAAAUAAGGUAGGUGCUAGAAUUUUCCUGGCAUGGAAAAGCCACACAACGGCCAAAGUUCUAACUGAAAGGAAAAUAAUUUUUUUUAAAAAACCACUCAGGGAGUAGUAAAUUCAUAAUUUGUACUGAGUAGGAAUUGGCAACCACCUUGUCAAUAGCUAUAAAACGCCUUAUGUGCAGAAAUAUUUCAGGACAUCAAAGACAAAGAAAUGUGUUUGGCCCCGUGCCUUUGCAUUCAGUAUACAAUUUAUGGCAGCUUUAUUUUUCCAUUUUUUUCGUAAGCUUUUCUUCCCCAUCUUCUCUCUAACAAAGGGCGACACAGAAGACAAGAAGAGCAGCAAGACUGGACUUUUUAUGCAAUAGGGAGAUGUGUCAGUACCAUUGCUUUGUUUGAUGUUUUACUGGACACCUUUCUGUGCCUCUGUUCUCUAACUCAGCAGCAGCCCAGAAGCUGCCUGCCUUGAUAUUAUGAUGUAGUUGACCAAAGGAAAAAUACCUGCAAAAUAACUUUAAAGAUAUUUGCAUUGAAUUCCAACAUCUUUCUAUCUCUGCCUGUUGCAGGAAGAAAAACUACUCUUUUAUUCUAAAAAGGCAUGAUUACUUGCUCCUGGUCUUGCUAUGCUUUUAGAAAAGGUUCUUUACAAGUGCAGGUAGUCCUUCUCUAUUGCUAAAGGAAGUGCUCUAUACCACAAUAUCUCAUUUAAAUACUUUCUCGGUGUUGUGCACUUUUUGUUAUGUUUGCAGCUGUUUUAAAGCACCUCAGCUGAAGCCUUCAGAAGGCAAAUACACACAAAUGUCCUUUAUGAGCCUUUCUGGCUUUGUCUCUCCCGAUCCCUGGUAAUUUUCUUUGAAUGCAUACAUCUUCCUUUUCCAGCUCACAAGAUUGCCAGCGUGGCUCUCAGCAAACAAGGGUGAGUUUUAAAGGAUCGGUGGAGUGCCUGUGAAAUCAUUGCCCUGCAUUAUUAUGGCUUAUCUUUCUACUUUCAUGGUCUAUAGUCCUCAUAUGGAUUUAUUUCAUCUGUGCUUGCACACAGCCUUGUACCCGGGCCUGCUUAGACUCACCAUAAAGCCUCAUACUUAAAGGAUAAUGGUCAUGAUGGGGGAAGUAUACAAGGCAAUAAACAGCUUUUGCAGGUGAUUAAACACGCUGAAGCAAAGCUGAGGCAUUUGAAAAACCCCAAAAGCUGUUUACUGUAAGCUCGGCAACACGUCAGCUGUGUUCAACAAGCCACAACAUUAAAUAAAAGCUUUUGCCUUGUCUUGGAAGGACUGGGAAGUUUUGUUCACCAAAUAGAUGUUUCCUUCUCCUUUUUAAUAGCGUGGGUGGCUUUCUUUGUGUCACAUACGGUUUAACAGGAGAUAAGUUCCGGAGUAAUUGCUUGGGAUAAAAGCAGCAAAAUGUCUUUCUUCACAUUGCUAUGGAGGUUCUUGAUGAUAGUCCUUUCCUCCUCUUCCCACCCCACAAGAAUCCCCCUUUAUUCCCAACUCCUUUCUUUGCUCCUGCUACUACUUCCUUUGUGUGUUUCAUGAUUUCAUUUCUUGGUUGGGUUUUUGAUUUGGGUUGGUUUUUUUUUUCUUCUCUUCAUUUCAGUGGUAUCUUCACCUCCACUCUCCCCAGCACUUCAAAGUUUUCCUAACAAGAAUGCCUGAGGCUGGAACAUUUAGCUGCUUGAAGGAGGAGGACAGACGCAGGAAUCUUAUGAGUCACAACACUUUCAGUGCUGGGGAAUCUCUGUUACACAAAUAGCACUGCUUUUGUAAUGAUGAGUUGUCUAAAACCAAACAGCCUUUUUUAGCAACAAUAAUUUACUAAACCAUAUGAUCUUGAAGAGUAUUUUUCUUUAAAACUUAACGCAACUUUUUCUUUAUUUUUCUUUAUUCCAACUUGCGCUGAUUUCUGUGGGGCUUCCUAUCAAAUGCAGUGAAUAAAACUGCACUUACUAUUUUCCAGCCCCAACUUACUGGCACUUAUAAUAGUUGUUAGAUACCACCAUGGCUAUUUGUGCAAGUCAGACACUUAAGUGAUACUAUAGUUAACUGCUGGCACAAACUGUAUGACAGAGAAAUAAGUCAGAGGCCAAUAACCCUCACAGAAGACUGUAAUUUCCUGUGAAUAUCAAUGGCAGGAAACUUACAGUCUAAAGGAAAGAAUAUUUAGUAUUUUGCAGUGGUUCACAAAGACGUUUUUGCUGUUUAUUGCUGAGAAUUACGGCAUAGUCUUUCUCAUUUAUAAAUUAGACCUUGAGGCAGUAUCUUCUGUGAAAGCAAAAUAUGAAAGGAGUAAUGGAAGUCUGGUAACUAGCUGAGCUUGAAGCUGUAUGCUGUAAAACAGAAUUCCUAGAUAAAGUGAUCGUCAGGAAAAGGUUGGCAGUUCCAGGUAGUGGUUGGUUCUUUCGUUUUGUCCUUCAGUCAUUUCUACAAGAGCAGUGUGUUUGAGGAAAAUGAAAAUGUACUCAUUUAUACACAAAAAAACCCCAUUAGCAUUGUAUAAAAAAAACCCUGUGUACAUUACAUCCUUGUCUCAGAUAAAUACAAAUCCAGUAUAAUUCUGGAUUUGCACCAGUAUUACUGAAACACAAAUCUAUCCUUGAAUAUCUUUAUCCAUUGUGCCCUGUUAAGUUUAUCUAGGGCAAAUCCUGAACCACUGAAAUUAAGGCUAAAGAGGGAGAAGUGGCAUUCCUUGGCCCCACAGAGGGGUGACCAGAGUGUUCAUGUCAAGGCAGCUCCUUGGGAAAUGCCUGCAGAUGUGUGCACUGGUCUGUGCUGACUCCUUGGGAAGGCAGACUUGGAGCAGACACUGGUGUCAUAAGGAAAGACACACACAGGAAAAAUGUGUUUCAUCUGCGGUGGCUGGAAUACACCCCGAGGUAACUGCUCAUCCCUGGGUUGUGCUGCACCAUCCAGGGAAACAUUCCCUUGUGUCUGCACAGGGCAGAAAGGGUGAAGUGCAGAGAUGUCAGUUCCUGAAUAAGGAAAUGUGUAACUGACUGUUUGUGUGGAUUUUCUGUCUUCCCAGGAAAUCCUCAGGUGUCAUUUGAAGACGCUCCGAGGAUUUCAAGUGUCACAUUUACAGCAGGAAUUAAGGCCAGUGAUAGUGAACAUAUUGAAUGAGUUGUUUGUUCCCAUUUCAGGUUAGGAAAGAAGCUCUCAGAGGCUGAUUUGGAUUGUUUCUCACAAAGGUUAAUCCUCAAACUCUGUUCUCCAUUUACUGUUGUCUUGUAAUGAUGAAGUAAACAUAUCAGGUAGCUUUUGCCAUCUAUUGUAUACUUUCAGAUAUACUCAGAAUAAUAAAGAGAGCAGAUUUGAAGAGAUAGAGUAGGAUGUUUAUUUUUCUAAUUUUUAAGUCAUUUUGAGUUAACCAAGACUGGUUUUGUAAACACGUUUUCCCUUUUUUUCUUUUUUUUUCAAAGUUGUUACAUUUUUCAUGCAUGAAUUUGACCUAUGGAUUAUAUAAAACUAAAAGAAUCCUUUUCUAAUGGACAGUCAGUAAAGCCAGAUGCUUUUAGUGGGAAUUCUUGGGUUGAAAGAUAUUUGGUGGGGCUUUUUCCCCCUAUUGCAUUUUCCACCAAAGUGUUUCUUGCUCAUUUUAUUUAAAAACAUAAAUUCUAUUAUUUUCUGUACUCUAGGGAUGAAUAUCACAGUAAAGACUAUUUGAGGAGAAACAAA